UUUGUUAAACUGGUUCAAUGCCAGGUAAAGUCAGUUGUUGAAAUUGAAACUUCAUUUACAACUAAAUAACAAUUAACAAUAGAUUCCAUAUGUUGGUAAUUUAAUCGGUUAAAAUUUUACUCUUCUCCUGUUGAAUGUUUCAUAGAGCAAACAAAAUUAUAUUCAAAUUACUUCUAUGUAAGCGUCAAUAUUAAAUUCAAUUAUCCUUUUGUGUACAUUUUUUUUCUGUUAACAAGUUGACAAAAAAACUGGUUGAAUAAACAGAACUUUUCAUUUCUAUUUUUCAUACUUUCGCCUGAUUUGUUGACUCUACAACAGUUAAAUAUCCUACUACAGUGUUUUCAUCAUUGGUAUAUCAUCAACAUUGGAAUAACAAUUUCUACACCAACAAAUUGAAUUAUGCUCAAGAUGGCCAUGAUUUUUCAAGAAGUCAUUGUCUAUUUCUCAUUGUGUAAGUGAUGACAAUGUAUUAAACAAUGGGACCAACGUUAUAAUCAAGAUUCAAUUGUCGAUCAGCAAGGUUUUUGCUCAACAAUUUUGAUCUAAAUUCGUGGAUACAACAAUAUAACCAGUUGGAGUUACACGUUUUUCAAUACCAAAAUGAGAUAAUUAUCACCUUCAAAUGCUACAAUUAAGGUAGCAUCAAAUUGUCAGUAACAACAGGUUAAUUAUUUACUGGAAACAAGACACCAAUAUGAAGACACAACAAGGUUAACAUUUAAACAAGACAGACAUAUAAAAACAGUGAUAAACAUUUUGAUGACAUUUUAUCCAAAAAAAGGAGACUUUUCUAAUGCAUUUAAAUAGGGUUGCUUAUUAUCACGCAUAGCCUUGGAUUUUAUUUGAAUUUUAUCUAUUCGUGACUAUCCUUGAAAUAUCCAUUCAGAAUCUCUCUUUUUUUGUCUUACGGUUGCAGGUUUUUGAUUACAAUAAUUAUUUAAACGAUUAUUGUUAUCAUCAGACUAUCAUUUUUAGCUUCUCAAUUUAUUGAAUGUAUUAAUAUAUGUACAAUGUAUUAAUAGUCCACAAAGGAUAUCCUUUUGGUUUCCCUAACCAUCGUCUAACAUUGAUUAGGAAGUGAUCUAAUUUUUAGAUAAUCAAAUUAUUGAACAAUUUAUUACUUGACACAAAGCUGAAAAAAGGCUUAGAUUGCUAGUUAUUAAAAUCAUGGAAAACGUUCAA